rnacentral:rRNA from 1 species
UACGUAGGGGCAAGCGUUAUCCGGAUUUACUGGGUGUAAAGGGAGCGCAGACGGAACUGCAAGUCUGAUGUGAAAGCCCGGGGCUCAACCGCGGGACUGCAUUGGAAACUGUAGAUCUGGAGUGCCGGAGGGGCAAGCGGAAUUCCUGGUGUAGCGGUGAAAUGCGUAGAUAUCAGGAGGAACACCGGCGGCGAAGGCGGCUUGCUGGACGGCAACUGACGUUGAGGCUCGAAAGCGUGGGGAGCAAACAGGAUUAGAUACCCUGGUA